rnacentral:lncRNA from 1 species
CAACGUCCGCCCGCGAAUCUCGCGCCCACAUCGGGAGAAUCGCCCACGACGCCCUAGUCCAAGAAACCGGCCUCCACUCUCUCCUCUGCUCAACCCAAAUCCUCUCUCUCGCUCGACACCGCACAGGAAGAAAACCGAAUCGCCGAUUGGAGCUCCCCGGAGACCUCGCCGGCGACCGUCGAGGUAGAGCCCCCAUCCUCCUUUCUCCUUCCCUCCCUUAGCGUUUUUAGCGCGCGAUCCCUGGCGUUCCCGUCCCGGCACGGCACACGGCUCCCUGCGCGCGCAUCUUCUUCACGUUCGCGGCAUGGCGCGGCCGGAUGCUCGCGGACGCCCUCGCGUGGACGCCUAGCGCAGCCCGCCCACGUGUAGCAUCCAAAAUUUCAAAUCUUGGAAUUUUCUCAAACUCGCUCUAAAUUCAAAAUGAAUUUCAAAUUUCAUUUCAAAAUGUUUGUUUGCGAGUUGAUAUCAGCAAAUAAAGUAUAGUGGUCUAUAUUCUCACUAAAAUCCUCCUCAAAAUAUCCUACAAAUAUUUCCCCAGUGAUCCCCCUCAAAUUGUUUACAGAAAUACUGCCCAGAUAUUUUCCCUAGUGGUCCUCUUCAAGUUCUUUCCAGAAAUACUGCCCAAAUAUUCCACCGAUAUAUCUCCAGGUAUUUUCCUCUUGAGAAAUACCUUCAGAAUCAUUUUUCAAGUCCCUACAAAUAUUUUCUUCAUAACUUUCCUCAUGCUCAUACGUAUACGUGUGCCUCCAGUGUCAUACGGUGAGCUCUACAAGCAAAUCUCACUUAUACAAGGCAAAUACAUGCUAACCUCCCACUAAUCAUCUCAUCCUCCCACUAAUCCUGUCAUCCCUCCCCCUAAUCCCCCCACCAUGGCUAUAAAUAGAGGGGAAGGGCCUCCUCUCAUCCCACCCCAAGCCAUUUCAUGGCAACUCUCUCCCCCCCACACACACACCCACUCCAUGUUCCACACAAGCACACACUAGCACAAGGAUCGUUCGAUCGUUCUUCGAUAGUUCGUCCCCUGUUCUUAGUUUGUUUGUUCGUUCGUCCGAUCGUUCGUCCGAUCGUUCAUGGUUCGUUCGUCCGUUCGUCCGAUCGUUCGAUCGUUCAUCCGUUCGUUCGUCCAAAUAAUCUUUUUGCUACCGUUAUGCUGCCGAAAUUCCGAUCGUUCGUUCGUUCGAUCAUUCGAUCGUUCAUCGUUCGUUCAUAGUUCCUAUUCAUCAUUCGUCGUUCGUUCAUAGUCCCUAUUCAUCGUUCUUCCAGAUAAUCUUUGUCCUGUCGUUAUGCUGCCGAAAUUUCGAUCGUUCGUUCGUCCGAUCAUUUGAUCGUUCGUCUGUUCGUUCAUCCAAAUAAUCUUUGUCCUACCGUUAUGCUGCCAAAAUUCCGAUCGUUCGUUCGUUCGAUCAUUCGAUCGUUCAUCGUUCGUUCAUAGUUCCUAUUCAUCGUUCAUCGUUCGUUCAUGGUCCCUAUUCAUCGUUCUUCCAGAUAAUAUUUGUCCUGCUGUUAUGCUGUCGGAAUUUCGAUAGUUCGUUCGUCUGAUCAUUCGAUCGUUCGUCCGUUCGUUCAUAGUUCCUAUUCAUCGUUCGUCCGUUCGUUCAUAGUUCCUAUUCAUCGUUCGUCCGUUCGUUCAUAGUUCCUAUUCAUCGUUCGUUCAUACGACUAUUCACCAUCACUAGUCACCGUUACUAUUCAUCAUUACUAUUCACUGACAUUAUUCACCAUCGUUACUAUUCAGUGUUACUAUUCAUCAUUGUUACUAUUCAUCAUCGUUACUACUCAUCAAUGAUAUCUAGUAACUUUUUCGUCGUCACUAUUCAUCGUUACUAUUCAUCGAUUAGCCGAUCACCCCAAAUUUCAACUACUCAUACAUCAUGCUGUCCAGUCCACCUAAGACCAGCCAGACCCAUAUUCCAGUCAUACGAACUCCGGUGACUGUGAUUUUCCUUCCAGUAGGGAACUUCCCAUCUGGUCACCCAUCCCAGGUUUCUCCAAGUUGAGCACGCUUAACUUUAAGAUUCCUUCGAACCAGGCUUCCAAACUCAGAUUCCAAUAAUCCUCGUUUCUAAAUUCUUAUCAAACUAUUCCCUAUCCAACCAUGUCAUCCCUUAAGCAUGGUCCAUAUUCCAGAAAACUCCCAAAAUACUCUUGUCCCAUAUUCUGCCUAUAACUCUCCUGUUCAUACUAAGUCAGACGAUUCAUUCGUCACUAUUCUCACCAACAGUGAACUUCACUGUGCUACACCACAUACACCCAGCUAUAAAUACACCUAGCUACCCUCUCCCUCUCCACACACACUCAACACCCUCAUCCAAGGCAAACACCCCACCCACCCAGUUACUCUGCUCUGCCGGCUACACGCAUAGUGUCGCUUCGCCUCCAGUCCACCCCCUGGUAAGCACCUCCGCUCCACCACCAGUAAUAUCACAACACCACAUGCCACAUAUUCUACUCAAGACUCUACCCAUCCAUAUAUCACUAUCCUGACCACUAUACUAAAUAUUUGUUGGUAUACUUGCUUGUUUGUAUGUUUGCUUAUUCAUGUUGCAUAGUUAUCGGAGCGUUCGUGUCGUCUCGUGGAGGCCAGAUCUGCAAGUCUACGCCAGGCGGUGGAGCCAGAAGCCAGUUCCGCGAGCUCCCCUUCCCCCUUCGCCGAAUAAGCACGGCAAGCUCACUGGAUCCCUUUGAUGCAUAAAUUACCUAUGAUUUUUCAACCACAACCCACAGCCUGUUAUUUUAUGCAUGAUAUGAUUUUGAGACAAGUUAUUAUGGCCACCCAGCCGCUUGCCGCAAUCAAUCCCUGAUAUAUAUGUUCUAAAUGAUUUGAGAACAGGUGUGAGUUUUCAAAAGAAAAUGCUUUUCAAAAUGUGUGUGAUGAAGGGUUUUCACCCUUAUCACCUUGUGAGUGGGAUAAUCAGAGACUCCUUGGUUUAGGGGAGGGCCUAAGGUGUUGGCUCAGCUGGUUUAGGCGUGAGCAGAAGGAUUGUCCCCUCAUAUAAGGACCGGUUUGUCAUCUUCACUACCUGUACUCUUUAAUAGUACAACCACUCGAGACUGUGUGGGCAGUCACUCAAUCUGAACUCGUACGGUCCAACCCCAGGGUUAUGAAGGCCGGGGAGCACCGGGAGGAUAAGGAGGGGGAAAGUUUUGUCCGGUUUGGACAUGGUGGUGGCAUGACUCCUUCCGGAUAAUCGUUAAGGUUAGGACGUGCGGGGAAAGAAAGAGAGUCGGAUUCGGGUCUCAUUGGCCAUGGGAUCGCAGAGCCGAACUAGUGGGUAAAGUGUACCCCUCUGCGCAGAGUUCAAACCUAUUCGAAUAGUCUGUGUCCACAGGAAUGGACGAGUCUGGUAUGGUAUGGCAAUUAAUGUUUUGUUUUCCAAAAAAAGAGAGAUGGUUUUGAGAAAAGUGGUUUUUAAAAGGUUCGGCGGUUGAGCCGUGAGCUAUGGUGGACGGGAAGUCCAGUAGCUGUUUUUGAAAAUGAAAACCAGUGGGAACUGCUGAGAUACCUGGAUGGUUUAGUCCAGGGGAUUUUGUUAUAAUACUGAAAAACUUCCUGCUCCUUUUGGAGAUGAUGCGCUUUGCAAAAAUACAAAAUGUUUUUCAAAACAACUCUGCAUAAAUUAUUGUUGUUUCUGCAAAAUAUCCUGAGCUCCACAUAUUCCAUGCAUUAUAUCUGAUUUCCCCAUUCCGCGGGUGAAGGUGGGCUGCUGAGUACGUUUGUACUCACCCUUGCUUAUUUGUUGUUUUUCAGAAAAAGGAGAUCGGGUAAGAGUUACGACUGUUCCCAACCUUGCCUGUGGCUGUUGGACCGCUGAAUUGCUUCACUGCGUAUAUCGGGCUGCUUCAGUCCCACUCUGAUGAUAUGUCCCGAGUUGUGGACCAACUCUUAAAGUUGUUCGCCACCUUUAUUGGUUUGUCUCGUUUAAGCAGAUCUAGAAUCAUCUGAUGUAUAAAUGUGUUUACUAGCCUCCUGAGACUAGUAAUUGUAUCACAUUGGAGUCCCAGAGGAUCGGGACGCUUCAGGUGGUAUCAGAGCUGUUAGGUUGGCCGCAGGACGUAACCCUUAGCCUGAUCAAAAGUUUUUGAGUCCAAACUAUUUUCUUAAAAAAUCUUGCUCUCAUCCCUUCAUGUCAAAAAUGCUUUCCCCUUUCCUUCUCUCAGAAGUCAGAUGGAGGUCCGUUGCCAAACCAGCUUUUGCCAGAAUGAAGAUGGUUUCCCCAAGUUGCUGAGAGCAUGCACAGUUCGCCUCGGGAUCAGGAGCCAGCCAGAGUAUGAUGGUCAUGAAUUUGUCGAGCAUGGCACAGAGAAGUGUGUCGUGACUGUAUACAUUGGAUCCAGUCCACACCAUGUGGAAUGGAGUGUCACUGCUGCUGGGCACAGAUUCAAAGACACCUGCCAAGUCGUCGUUCAUAAGGCAUUGAGGGCCCUAUGUCAGAUCUAUGAAGAAGAAGUGGCCGACACCUCGCUCAGAUUCUUUCCGCCCUUUCAGAGAGACCGUCCCGCUUGGAUGGCCAGGAUGCGUGCAUUGGAAGAGCAGCAGCUGCUUGAGGACGACCCCACAGUCGUGUACCUCACUGCAUACCUGCUCACCCUUGAUGCACAAUAUGAUUUCUUGGCUCGGCACCACCGUCAGAUGAUUGCCCGAGCAGAAGAUGCAGAGAAGCGCAACCGUGAACUCCAUGUGGAUCUCACCAUAGUUCAAGCCCGUGUAGCUGCCUUGGAAAGUCGUGAAGUCAUUGCUGUUGAAGCCCUGAAGCAAGCCAAGAAUGAGCAUGUCCAGAAGUUGAUGGAGGCCUACUUGGUAACCCAUAACCAACGUAGAGCCCUACGGAUCCAAGAGCCCGCUUCAUCCAACCCAGUUCAAUAUGUCAGAGCUGAAGAUCCCCAGAUUCUUGAAGGUCACCCGGUCUCUAUCAGAAGAGAGAAGAAGGCUUGGGAACUCCCGGAAGGAGCCAUAGUCUUGGAAGGGAUUCCAGUCUUCCCUCAGGCUAUGAAUAAGCAAGAGCACCCCGAGUCCUCCCAAGAUUCCCCGCCAGAGUUGUUUGAGCCCCUCACCAUGAAGAAGAUUCCAGCACCAUCCCGUGAGAUCAAAGAAGAAGCUACAAGCACCCCGCCAGCACCACCGCCCUCUGAGGAGAUACAAGAGCCAGUCCCACUUGAAGAAGAGUUCGACCCCGUGUUGCCAUCUCAGUCGCUGCCAGAAGAAGUCAUCAACAUCAGCUCCCUGUUGACCCAUCCAGGAGAUAUCUCAGAUUGAAGUUGUGCGUCAGCCUUGCCAGAAGAGAAGCUGUCUGGUCUGAAGUUAGUUAUGCCCAGUCCUCUGCAUGCAUUGGGUAGUGAAGUUUUUCUUCACUUUGGCUAGAGCCCUGCAUGUAUGAGAGGUAAUCGUGUAGACUCGUGUUUUGAAAAACUCUAAUUCUGUUGCCCCUUAGGGCAUUUCAAAAUGAAUUUCGCUUGAUGUUUUUCCUCCCUUUUGAGUGCAUAUGUGAUGCUUUAACGUUAGUGCCCAUAAGUUGCAUUUAGCAUAGUUCUCAAUUCAGGAGCCAAGCAAUAGUAGUUAUGCUUAGCCCCCGAAUCUGAGUAGUUCGUGCUUUGGAAAAACUCUAUUCUUCCCCUACUCAAAAUAUUUGAUUUGUUUGUGCUUAUCAUUACUGAACUUAUGUGUUUUCUUUAUUUUUAAGAAAGGUUUUCUCUAAAAACAUAGAUCACCAAUUAGAUCUAAUCCUCACCUUAUGCUUCCAUUCUCAUCUUAACCCAUCUCAAGAGAAAAGUGCUUUACCCAAGAAGAUAUCGAGAAGCUUACCCUUGAAGCCUGGAAUAAGCUACAGAAGGAACCAGUCUAACCGCUCAGUCAAAAGGACCGACCGUGAGAAUCAAAGCACUGCCCCUGAGUCAAAGUAAACAGGAAAAGAGGACAGAAGGAGUUAUUACCAUACAGAGAGGCAAAGAUUCUUGGAACCAGAGACCACAAACAUCAGGGUCAUUGACCCCACCACUCACCCGUGCCCCCCACAUGUGUGCCCGCCUCCAUGCGCACCCCCACCGCCACCCACACCCCCUUUUGCAGCGCACCCACCGCCAUCGUCGCCGGCAACAGGCCCCCCUCCCCAUGUCGCGCCUACUGCCUCGUGUCACCUGCUCCAUCACUACCACUCCACACCCCCCCCCCGAGCACCCCCGCUCGCCUAUAAAUCCCCCCCCCCCACCAGCUCCCUCAACUCCCAUCUCGCUCAAAGCAAAGCACACUCCAGAUAAAUCCCCCCUGCCAAAUCGCAAGCAACUCCAUUUUCCACUCCCUCGCCCCUAAGAUCACAAUGCUUGGUGAUUCUUGGGUUGAAGAUUGUUGCACAUGGUUCAUAGUCUUUGGUUUACUCCAGUGUAUGAUAGUAAUACUCUUUGAUAGAAUCCUCGAGUGGGAAGAGCGAAGAGAAAGAAAGAGGUAGUGAAAAGUGAAAAGUGAGAAGAGAAAAGAAGAUAGUGAAGAGAAGAUGAGAAGAAGGUUCUCCCAAAAUCAACCAUGUGUCAGUCAUUUCUCCGCAGCCUGCUCAAGCAGCAACGGCAGAAGAAGGUCCCGUAACACCCUUGUUAUGAGGUACUUCAAGGAGUUCAAAUCCCCAAGAUUCAAGAGUUCUACCCUCAUUCUUUUUAAGUGGGGUAGUGUUCCAGUAAGGUUCCUGCUAUGGAGAAAAAGAAAAAGGCAUGUAGCAAGCUUAUGGAGAACCAGAUCAUCAAAGCAUAUAAGUUUCUGGAUGAGAAGUGGUCACCCAAGUUUUGUUGAUGAAGCACCAGAAGACCAAUCAAGAAAGGAAUCCAUGUGGGAGUUCGCAAGAGAAAGGUUUGCGUGUUGGCAUCGAUGCUUCUUCAAUAAGCUAGCUGCCAAGCAAAAGCUAGAAGCCUGAAGAUGAUCUUUGAGUAGCCAGAAUCAGCGUUUGCAAUCAGCAACCGGAUGCUCCUGAAAGGCCAUAUUUUGUUGAAGUUCCAUCUCCUCGAAGAGUCUGCAAAGUGAAGAUAUGUAGCUGAAGUAAAGUUAUACCCAUAACCCUUCUAAGCCGAAUCUCGAGGACGAGAUUCAUUUUAAGUGGGGUAGAUUUGUAGCAUCCCAAAAAUUCAAAUCUUGGAAUUUUCUCAAACUCGCUCUAAAUUCAAAAUGAAUUUCAAAUUUCAUUUCAAAAUGUUUGUUUGCGAGUUGAUAUCAGCAAAUAAAGUAUAGUGGUCUAUAUUCUCUCUAAAAUCCUCCUCAAAAUAUCCUACAAAUAUUUCCCCAGUGAUCCCCCUCAAAUUGUUUACAGAAAUACUGCCCAGAUAUUUCCCUAGUGAUCCUCUUCAAGUUCUUUCCAGAAAUACUGCCCAAAUAUUCCACUGAUAUAUCUCCAGGUAUUUUCCUCUUGAGAAAUACCUUCAGAAUCAUUUUUCAAGUCCCUACAAAUAUUUUCUUCAUAACUUUCCUCAUGCUCAUACGUAUACGUAUGCCUCCAGUGUCAUACGGUGAGCUCUACAAGCAAAUCUCACUUAUACAAGGCAAAUACAUGCUAACCUCCCACUAAUCAUCUCAUUCUCCCACUAAUCCUCUCAUCCCUCCCCCUAAUCCCCCACCAUGGCUAUAAAUAGAGGGGCAAGGGCCUCCUCUCAUCCCACCCCAAGCCAUUUCGUGGCAACUCUCUCCCCUCCACACACACCCACUCCAUGUUCCACACAAGCACACACUAGCACAAGGAUCGUUCGAUCGUUCUUCGAUCGUUCGUCCCCUGUUCUUAGUUUGUUCGUUCGUUCGUCCGAUCGUUCGAUCGUUCGUCCGAUCGUUCAUGGUUCGUUCGUCCAUUCGUCCGAUCGUUCGAUCGUUCGUCCGUUCGUUCAUCCAAAUAAUCUUUUUCCUACCGUUAUGCUGCCGAAAUUCCGAUCAUUCGUUCGUUCGAUCAUUCGAUCGUUCAUCGUUCGUUCAUAGUUCCUAUUCAUCGUUCGUCGUUCGUUCAUAGUCCCUAUUCAUCGUUCUUCCAGAUAAUCUUUGUCCUGCUAUUAUGCUGCCGAAAUUUCGAUCGUUCGUUCGUCCGAUCAUUCGAUCGUUCGUCCGUUCGUUCAUCCAAAUAAUCUUUGUCCUGCUGUUAUGCUGUCGAAAUUUCGAUCGUUCGUUCGAUCAUUCGAUCGUUCAUCGUUCGUUCAUAGUUCCUAUUCGUCGUUCAUCAUUCGUUCAUGGUCCCUAUUCAUCGUUCUUCCAGAUAAUCUUUGUCCUGCCGUUAUGCUGCCGGAAUUCCGAUCGUUCGUUCGUCCGAUCAUUCGAUCGUUCGUCCGUUCGUUCAUAGUUCCUAUUCAUCGUUCAUCGUUCGUUCAUAGUUCCUAUUCAUCGUUCAUCGUUCGUUCAUACGACUAUUCACCAUCACUAUUCAUCAUUACUAUUCACUGACACUAUUCACUGACACUAUUCACCAUCGUUACUAUUCAGUGUUACUAUUCAUCAUCGUUACUACUCAUUGAUGAUAUCUAGUAACUUUUUCGUCGUCACUAUUCAUCGUUACUAUUCAUCGAUUAGCCGAUCACCCCAAAUUUCAACUACUCAUACAUCAUGCUGUCCAGUCCACCUAAGACCAGCCAGACCCAUAUUCCAGUCAUACGAACUCCGGUGACUGUGAUUUUCCUUCCAGUAGGGAACUUCCCAUCUGGUCACCCAUCCCAGGUUUCUCCAAGUUGAGCACGCUUAACUUUAAGAUUUCUUCGAACCAGGCUUCCAAACUCAGAUUCCAAUAAUCCUCGUUUCUAAAUUCUUAUCAAACUAUUCCCUAUCCAACCAUGUCAUCCCUUAAGCAUGGUCCAUAUUCCAGAAAACUCCCAAAAUAAUCUUGUCCCAUAUUCUGCCUAUAACUCUCCUGUUCAUACUAAGUCAGACGAUUCAUUCGUCACUAUUCUCACCAACAGUGAACUUCACUGUGCUACACCACAUACACCCAGCUAUAAAUACACCUAGCUACCCUCUCCCUCUCCACACACACUCAACACCCUCAGCCAAGGCAAACACCCCACCCACUCAGUUACUCUGCUCUGUCAGCUACACACAUAGUGUCGCUUCGCCUCCAGUCCACCCCCCUGGUAAGCACCUCCGCUCCACCACCAGUAAUAUCACAACACCACAUGACACAGAUUCUACUCAAGACUCUACCCAUCCAUAUAUCACUAUUCUGACCACUAUACUAAAUAAUUGUUGGUAUACUUGCUUGUUUGUAUGUUUGCUUAUUCAUGUUGCAUAGUUAUCGGAGCGUUCGUGUCGUCUCGUGGAGGCCAGAUCUGCAUGUCUACGCCAGGCGGUGGAGCCAGAAGCCAGUUCCGCGAGCUCCCCUUCCCCCUUCGCCGAAUAAGCACGGCAAGCUCACUGGAUCCCUUUGAUGCAUAAAUUACCUAUGAUUUUUCAACCACAACACUCAGCCUGUUAUUUUAUGCAUGAUAUGAUUUUGAGACAAGUUAUUAUGGCCGCCCAGCCGCUUGCCGCAAUCAAUCUCUGAUAUAUAUGUUCUAAAUGAUUUGAGAACAGGUGUGAGUUUUCAAAAGAAAAUGAUUUUCAAAAUGUGUGUGAUGAAGGGUUUUCACCCUUAUCAUCUUGUGAGUGGGAUAAUCAGGGACUCCCUGGUUUAGGGGAGGGCCUAAGGUGUUGGCUCAGCUGGUUUAGGCGUGAGCAGAAGGAUUGUCCCCUCAUAUAAGGACUGGUUUGUCAUCUUCACUACUUGUACUCUUUAACAGUACAACCACUCGAGACUGUGUGGACAGUCACUCAAUCUGAACUCGUACGGUCCAACCCCAGGGUUAUGAAGGCUGGGGAGCACCAGGAGGAUAAGGAGGGGGAAGUUUUGUCCGGUUUGGACAUGGUGGUGGCCUGACUCCUUUCGGAUAACCGUUAAGGUUAGGACGUGCGGGGAAAGAAAGAGAGUCGGAUUCGGGUCUCAUUGGCCAUGGGAUCGCGGAGCCGAACUAGUGGGUAAAGUGUACCCCCUCUGCGCAGAGUUCAAACCUAUUCGAAUAGUCUGUGUCCACAGGAAUGGACGAGUCUGGUAUGGUAUGGCAAUUAAUGUUUUGUUUUCCAAAAAAAAGAGAUGGUUUUGAGAAAAGUGGUUUUUAAAAAGUUCGGCGGUUGAGCCGUGAGCUAUGGUGGACGGGAAGUCCAGUAGCUGUUUUUGAAAAUGAAAACCAGUGGGAACUGCUGAGAUAACUGGAUGGUUUAGUCCAGGGGAUUUUGUUAUAAUACUGAAAAACUUCUUGCUCCUUUUGGAGAGGAUGCACUUUGCAAAAAUACAAAAUGUUUUUCAAAACAACUCUGCAUAAAAUAUUGUUGUUUCUGCAAAAUAUCCUAAGCUCCACAUAUUCCAUGCAUUAUAUCUGAUUUCCCCAUUCCGCGGGUGAAGGUGGGCUGCUGAGUACGUUUGUACUCACCCUUGCUUAUUUGUUGUUUUUCAGAAAAAGGAGAUCGGGUAAGAGUUACGACUGUUCCCAACCUUGCCUCUGGCUGUUGGACCGCUGAAUUGCUUCACUGCGUAUAUCGGGCUGCUUCAGCCCCACUCUGAUGAUAUGUCCCGAGUUGUGGACCAACUCUUAAAGUUGUUCGCCACCUUUAUAGGUUUGUCUCGUUUAAGCAGAUCUGGAAUCAUCUAAUGUAUAAAUGUGUUUACUAGCCUCCUAGGACUAGUAAUUGUAUCACAUUUGAGUCCCAGAGGAUCGGGACGCUUCACCACGGUUGCUCGUGCGCCCUGCCUUCGGCGUGCCCGGCUCGGCCUACGCGCGCAGUUUCCUCGCGCCCACGGCGUGCUUGCUGCUCGCGGCGCGGUCCCUGCCCCCGGCACGCCCCUGCUGGCUUGCGCGCAGCGCAGCGCAGCCCCACCCCUCGCGCGGCGUGGCGUGCCCGCCCGCUGCCCCGGCGCGGCUCGCAGUGCGCAGCGCGGCUGCUCGCAGCGACCCUCCACGGCCUGCUCGCAGCACGCCUGCGCUGCCGCUCGCGGUGGCCCCGUGUGCCGCAACUCCCUGCCCGGCGUGGCUGCCCGUAGCGCGCAGCACGUUUCACGGCCAGAGUCCCCAGCACGACGUAGCGCGCGGCUAGCAACUCGCUCGUUCGCUCGCUCACCCGUGCAACGCUUAAACGUCACGCUCUGUCAUUUACCCUUUGUGCGCAAAUUGUCGCGCGACGAUGCUCUUCACCAUUUAAAAGUGCUAGUACUAAUUGAAAUGUAUCAAGAAGCGACACAUUAACUAAGAGUGGAAUUAACUAUGCUUAGAUGAUGACUAUCUUUACACCUAUAUUAAAUAUCGGUUAGUAUAACUACAUGAUAUGGAGUAGUUAAGUCCAUUCUUUCACUUAGCACGAGUAUAAUGACUGUCAAUCGUAAUAGCGGUUACGUUAAUUAAUUCAUGUAGUUAAUCAUCUACCUUAUUUAAUAUUGAUCAACUGAAAACAGUUAUGAUUCUAUUAGUGCAUGUGACUAAUCCUUGUUAUUGGAACUAAGUGGAACUAGAGCACGUAAUGGCUAGUUAUGCAUCUACCCGUAAUACGCUUCGACUAUAGAUUUAACCACUGCGAGACCUUCCUUCUUCUCUUUCUAGCCAUGGCAAAUGCAAUAUCGUAUGUCAUACUCUAUGCAUAUUUAAUCUAUCUGUUCUCUUGUAUGGUGUACUGUUUGUUUCCUAAUUCGAAUGGAUGGAUGUAUGUAUGUUUGCGCUCGCAUAGAGAACGAUCUGGUUGAGGAGCCCGAAGAACUCGCAGGAGAAGCCCCUGAGCAGCAGUUGGUUGGUGGAGGCAGGUGUCCCUUGACCUAUCUUUGUCCUAUACAUACUUUAAUUCACCUCCCGCAUUACACAUUUAUACCUAAGGAUUGACUAGCUUUUGUUAUCCAUGUCCUUGUUUACCUAUCUGGGUUAGAUUAUUAUUGUUUAGCUUUAUGCUAUUGCUCAACUCUAAUCAAUGAACAUGAUGAGAUUUGCCAAUGAUACGCUGUUUUCCCUCUUCUUAUUAUGAUGUUAUACUUGUGGCCUUCAAGGGGGCUCGAUCGGUUUCUCGAGUGCCUCUCCGUAAGGACCUGUUCGUCGGAUGACCGCCCGGGAAAACAGUGCAACCAUGAGGGUGGAAUGGGGUGCCCUUAGCUGAAUAAUUAGAGGAUCCGGGGUGUAGUUCGCUUAGCCGCCGUGCCGUUAAUGGGGCUCGGUGUAUGCGGCUCGCUCUGCCAAGCUUGGGUUCGCCCCCUUGGGGAGGAGUGCGCUACAUUUAGGAAACCUAACGGGCGGUUACAGCCCCGGGGAAUCUUUGUAAAGGCUACAUAGUGAGACCCUGCCUACUCAUCUUGGGAGUGUUCAAGGGUCCGUACAACCCGAGGCAAAAAGGGAAUCACGGCUCAUGGGUAAAGUGUACAACCUCUGCACAGUGUUAGAAAACUGAUAUAUCAGUCGUGCUCGUGGUUAUGAGCGGCCAAGGGAGCUCCAGUGAUUAGUGGUACUUGAUCAGAGAUGUUCGGAUUACAGGUGGCAAUGAAAUUGAUGGUUCUUGGUAUUGACUCUGGUAAUGGUAAGUGGUACUCUUUCCGUUUGGAAAGGAGUAUGUUUGGAUUAAUAACGUGGGUUAACUCUAAAACUUGGUUUUCUCUACUAGUAAUAAUAAUCUGACCAACUAAAAGCAACUGCUUGACUUACCCUCCACAUAAAGCUAGUCCACUACAGCCAAACAGGACACUUGCUGAGUAUGUUGAUGUGUACUCACCCUUGCUCUACACACCAACCCCCCCCUCCCCAGGUUGUCAGCAUUGCAACCACUGCUCAGGAG